GAACGAGAAAGUGGAGCAAUCCAUGAGUAAAGUGGCGCACGGGUGAGUAACACGCGACUAACCUACCUUUUAGUGGGGGAUAACCUAGGGAAACCUGGGCUAAUACCGCAUAACACUUACGAGUCAAAGCAGCAAUGCGCUGAAAGAGGGGGUCGCGGUCGAUUAGUUAGUUGGCAGGGUAAUGGCCUACCAAGACUGUGAUCGAUAUCCGGCCUGAGAGGGCGCACGGACACACUGGAACUGAAACACGGUCCAGACUCCUACGGGAGGCAGCAGUGGGGAAUUUUGCGCAAUGGGGGAAACCCUGACGCAACAACGCCGCGUGGAGGAUGAAGUCCCUUGGGACGUAAACUCCUUUCGAUCGGGAAGAUUAUGACGGUACCGGAAGAAGAAGCCCCGGCUAACUUCGUGCCAGCAGCCGCGGUAAUACGAGGGGGGCAAGCGUUGUUCGGAAUUAUUGGGCGUAAAGGGUGCGUAGGUGGUUCGGCAAGUCUUGUGUGAAAUCUUCAGGCUCAACUUGAAGUCUGCACAAGAAACUGCCGGGCUUGAGUAUGGGAGAGGUGAGUGGAAUUUCCGGUGUAGCGGUGAAAUGCGUAGAUAUCGGAAGGAACACCUGUGGCGAAAGCGGCUCACUGGACCAUUACUGACACUGAGGCACGAAAGCUAGGGGAGCAAACAGGAUUAGAUACCCUGGUAGUCCUAGCCCUAAACGAUGAUCGCUUGGUGUGGCGGGUAUCCAACCCUGCCGUGCCGAAGCUAACGCGUUAAGCGAUCCGCCUGGGGAGUACGGUCGCAAGGCUGAAACUC
rnacentral:rRNA from 1 species